GCCACAUAUUUGAAUCACUUGGAGAGCUGCUAAAACCCAUGACACUAGGUCACAACCCAGACAAAUGAAAUCAGAAUCCCUGGAGGGUGAGACCCAGGCAUCAAGAAGGAUUUAAGAUCUCUGCAAGAUUUAAAUAGGCAGCCAAAGUUGAGAGCAGCUGGCUUAAAGAGAGUAUAAGGCUUUGUUACAGUAUCUCAGCAUGGAUUACAUUUCAGUUUAGCUCUUUGCUAUUAUUCUUAUCCUCUGAAAUGUUUACACCACACAAUGGCCUAUUACUGGCUCUGAAUUUUAUAUCAUAUAUCACAUAAUAGAUUCCUCACUUAAGUUGUAGACAUAGGCAAAACUUUUCUUGUUUUCGAUGUAAGAUAAAGGGAGAGAAUGACUGGAUCAAAACAAAAAUAAGAUAAUAAUACAAAAUAAGUCAUGGGAUGGCAUCACAUUUUAAGAGUCUUUAUUUCUGACAAAAGCACAAACUUACUUGUUGGUGGCAUGACUUUUGCCAUUUUUCCUACCUUAACUGUUUAAGCUUGCAGCAAUUGUAUAGGUCACUGUAUAGGCUAAGGCUGUUUGAUGCCUUUCUUUUUCAAGCUGUGUCAAAAUAUCUUCAAGUAAAAAAGAUGAUUUGAAAGGUAUAAACCUAACUAAAGUAAUAGCACAGAUACAGUUUCUGUGUUUGGGCAGAUUUUAAGACAUUUCUAUGUGUUUUUCUGACACAAUGGAUCCUACGGACUACCAUAGACAUAGAUUAGUCUGAUUUUAGGCCAUCGCUUUGUAGCACUAUGCAGCUUUUAUCUGAAAGACAUUUCAAGAGGGGGAGCUAGUUAGCUAAUUAAUUAGAGAUUGUGACUUCAAUUUUGCAGACAAGAGAUACUUUCCGAGUUUAAGGAAAACCCUAAGAAAGCUGCGUUUCCAUAUCUGUGUCAUGGGAAGUCUCCUGUCCUGUUUCCACUCUGCCUUCUCCAUAAAGCAGGCUGAUUAUCGGGGCUCUCACACAAGCCCAGCGUGGUAGCUGAUUAAGGCUUGAAAAACAAAAAGCAAAUAGGAUUCCUAAUCAUGUGUCUCAUAGAAAUGGAGCUACAAAAACACAAAGAAUUGCCAUUACACCCUAAGUCUUGCAAUUUAGAGCAACUCAGGAAAUAGGUGCACAUAAGCAAACCAUGUGGUUAAAGUCUUUGGACCUGGUUUGGAGCAAAGCUGUAGGUGAUUUGUCAAAAUCAUCUGCAAAACCAGAUUUCUAACACCUCCCUGCUGUGCAUCUCAUUUCUGCUGAUGUGUGGUACUUCCUAAGAUGGGGACGUUAAGCAUGCAGCAACUACAGUCAUUUGUUCUCAGAGGCUGCAGUGCAGUGGAUCACCAUAGUCUUGACCUCCUGGACUCAAGCUACCCUCAGUUUCCUGAGUAGUUGGGACUACAGGAGCAUGCCACCAUGUCCAGAAACGUUGUGAUGCUGCGUUGGAGAGGCUGUGGGGCUGCCAAGACAGCAUGGAGGUUCCACUAAAAUUCAGACUCUGGAACAGGCCCUAUGUAACCAGUAAAACAGACGAUUUUAGCCGUCACAGAUGCUCUGCAGCCGUAAAGUGCCUCUGAACAGCUAAUACUGUGAAAGUGUGGGGAGAAAUGAGAGCUCAGCCAGAGUUCCUGAAGGCCAGCCCUAUGAUAUCUGUUCCCACCACAGCGGAUGGCUGUUCCCAUAUCCAGCCACAGUAGGGUUCCAGCCCCUCUGUGCAGGGGAGAAAGAUGUGGACCCUGAGGAUGCUGACAACCUGAGUGCAGAGCAAGGUUGACCAGGGAUCUACAUGGCCUGUCCUCAGUAAAGACAGCCUCGAGAGGACCAGAGUGAGAAGGUCACGUUGAAAAAAGGGAUGUGACCAAGGGACAGGAGUCCCCUGGUGCUACAUCUUCAACUGCCUGCUGAGGAGCCUGGGAAACCCUCCCCCACGAGGUGGCUAGAAGACAGGAGCAGCAGAUCCUACUGAGGUCACUGAGCGCCUGAGGCUGGGCAGGAUGCAGCUGAGCAAAGGCUGGCUUGGCAGCUCUACGCUCUUCCUGUUUAGUCAUCCAACAAGAAGAAAGAAAAGUGAAACUCUAGCAGUAAGAUUUUUCUUAGAAAAAUGGCAACAAACACCUUUCAUUGUUCUAUAUACAACCAAAUAAAGAUGUAAAGAACUCAUUUAAAAUUUGUAUUUAGUCUUUUCAAGGUGAGUUUUUCAAAGUAAAAAACUACAAGCACUCUUAAUAUCUAAAAUCAAAUUUAAAAAAUAGUUCUGAAUGUUCUAGUGAAUGAAAAAAGGCAAAAACCAAUAUAACUGGAACUAUUUGAAAUAAUAAUUAAAAAACAGUCCAUUUAUAAUUCAAAGAAUUUACUUAGAUUAUACCUUAGAUAGCCUAAGAAAAUCAAGUGAAAAAAUAUUAGACUUAAUAAC